ACGCUCGACACCUACGGGAGGCAGCAGUGGGGAAUAUUGGGCAAUGGGCGAAAGCCUGACCCAGCAACGCCGCGUGAGGGAAGAAGGUUUUCGGAUUGUAAACCUCUGUCCUCAGGGACGAAGGACGUGACGGUACCUGAGGAGGAAGCCCCGGCUAACUACGUGCCGGCAGCCGGCGGUAAUCUGAGGCGGGCGUGGACAAGGC
rnacentral:rRNA from 1 species